rnacentral:tRNA from 1 species
GCCUUCGUGAUGCAAUGGCCAGCAUACUUGGCGGGUAUUCGAGAGGUCCGAGGUUCGAGUCCCGACGAGGGCA